UCUACCUAUACCUUUUCAGUCUUUCUCUUUUGUAUAUUAUAUAGGAUAAUAUUGUAUUUGAUUGACUGAAUAAAAUACACAAACAAACAAAACUAGAACGGGCACUGGCUAGAGCGCAUACCUUCGCAUAUCACAAGAUUGGGCAUUGAAUUAUGAACAUUUUGGCAUUAGUUGCAUGCCAAUUGGAUACAAAUUGACCGUGCUAUGGUAAAAAGAAGAUGUUGACCUUUUCAUGACCUUGACCUUUGACCAGAUUGAUCCCAAAAUCUAAUCAAAAGGCCCCCGGAUAAUAACCAAUCAUCCCACCAAAUUUCAUGCGAUUCGGUUUAAAACUUUUUUUGUUAUGCGAAUAACACGCAUACAAAUAAAUAAAUAAAUACACGGUGAUCAAAACAUAACCUUCCGCAAUUCAAAGCGAAGGUAACAAUGUUAUUCCUAUUUCUAAUGAACAGAAAGAGGGUCACGUAAAGCACUUUUCUGCCACCUGAACUAAUACAAAUGCAUUUUCCGUCUCAGGCUGUAAAGUGGAGUCCAUCAGCUUGAACGUGGAGGCAGUCAACACACACAGAGAACGGCCAGAGAACGUCGAAGUGUCGCGGAUGUCCAAGGAGGCUUUGGUCACAGUGCCGGCUCACCAGUGAGGCAGUAGCCCCGCCCCCAUCCUCCUUUACCCUCCUUUACCCUCUGCAGCUUCUAGUCUUCCUUUUUGAUUGAAUCACCCGCCACCGUUCUGACCUUUUUUUCUUUUUCCUCCACUGGUAUUUUAACACACGAUGAUGAUGAUGAUGAUGGUGGUGGUAAUUGACUGGAAUCCAGUUUCUAAUUUUGGCACGGAUCUCGUGUCUCGAGCGCGUUCUCCCAUUUUUGGAGAAUGGAUGAAAAGCUGAUGAAGGGUUUCUGAACCGAUGCUGUGAAGCAAAGGAAUCGAGCAUCUUGUUGUUGUUGUGAAGUAUAUUUUGCCUGCUGAACUGAUUUCACGAUGUUAACUUGUCUCGAUUCAUUUUUCCGUUGGUAGAAGUCGGGUCACUUAGUUUGACAGAAGUUGUGCCUUUUUUUCUAUAUGUUGCACAUUUAAAAAAAAUCAACUUUUGUUUAUUUUCUUAUCGAAUGUCCUCGUUUGCAGCCUGUUGUCGGAUGUUUAACACUGUAAUGAAGGUCCUCCAGGUACGUUCAUUGUUUCUGUUCAAUGUGAAGAAGCCUACAGUAUAACGAGGAAAUAUUUCUGUUAUGUUCCUAAAUAAACUGAAUUUAACUUUA